rnacentral:rRNA from 1 species
AUGAAAGCAAAGAACCGGCAUCGUCUCCAAGGCUACUGCAUGCUCUACUCCGACUACUUCGCCGAUGCUCCACUUCAUGGCGAGAGAACAUUUCGGCACCAUUAUCGGAUGAGCCGAAAGCUCUUCCUCAGGAUUGUGAAUUCCAUCCGAGAGUUCGACAACUACUUCAAGUGCAAGAUGGAUUGCACUGGCGCUCUUGGAUUCACCUCCAUCCAGAAGUGCACGACAGCGAUGAGGAUGCUUGCAUAUGGAGCUCCCAGUGAUUCACUCGACGACUAUGGGCGCAUGGCCGAGUCCACCAGCAUAGAGUGUUUCUACAAGUUCUGUCGGGCAGUGGUGGCAGUGUUUGGGCCACAAUACUUGAGAACACCCAAUGCGGAAGACACUGCUCGGAUCCUAGCCCAGAAUGCAGCAAGAGGAUUUUCUGGGAUGCUUGGAAGCAUCGACUGCAUGCAUUGGAAAUGGAAGAAUUGCCCAUUUGGUUGGCAGGGGAUGUACAAAGGCGCCAAAGGCGGUUGCAGUGUGGUGCUUGAGGCGGUAGCCACACAGGACCUUUGGAUUUGGCACUCCUUCUUUGGUAUAUGCCAGGAACUCACAAUGACAUCAACGUGCUGCAGUGCUCUCCUGUUUUUGCCAAGCUCGUUGAGGGCCAUUCUCCUCCGGUGA